rnacentral:rRNA from 1 species
GACGAACCGUGCGAACGUUGUUCGGAAUCACUGGGCUUAAAGGGCGCGUAGGCGGGCCAUCAAGUCAGGGGUGAAAUCCUCCAGCUCAACUGGAGAACAGCUUUUGAUACUGGUGGCCUCGAGGGGGGUAGGGGCAUGUGGAACUUCCGGUGGAGCGGUGAAGUGCGUAGAUAUCGGAAGGAACAUCAGUGGCGAAAGCGACUUCCUGGACCAAUACUGACGCUCAUGUGCGAAAGCGUGGGGAGCAAACAGG